CGAACAUUCAGACCGUCGGUCUACCGAGCAAUAUCAUCCGCUCGGUAGAAGAUCUUCCCCCCGUCGC
rnacentral:pre_miRNA from 1 species